rnacentral:rRNA from 1 species
UACGUAGGGGGCAAGCGUUGUCCGGAAUCAUUGGGCGUAAAGCGCGUGUAGGCGGUUCGGUAAGUCUGCUGUGAAAGUCCAGGGCUCAACCCUGGGAUGCCGGUGGAUACUGUCGGACUAGAGUACGGAAGAGGCGAGUGGAAUUCCCGGUGUAGCGGUGAAAUGCGCAGAUAUCAGGAGGAACACCAAUUGCGAAGGCAGCUCGCUGGGACGUAACUGACGCUGAGACGCGAAAGCGUGGGGAGCAAACAGG